rnacentral:sRNA from 1 species
UUGCCAUGGUGGGAGAAUUGAGCUCUGAAGGUACCAAGUGGCAUCUAUUUCUGUUGCAUAUUUUCUUAUGCUUGCUUCUUGUCAUAUGGUAACUCUGGUGUUAACUGGCCAUGUUGUCUCUGACUAGAGCCUACUUCUUCUUGUAAGCAGGUGGAGUUCUGUGAUCUAUAUUAGAACAGGGUUCUGGAAGGCAAACAGUGCUGUUCAUAGUUAGGGAGGCCUCAUGUGUCCCUGGAUAGGGCCAGCCCUCUCUGAUUCUGAUUAUGGCAGAUCUCCUGGGAGAUAUCUGUGUCUGGGUGUGGAAGAGAGGUUGCUCCCAGCAGGAGUCAGAGACCAGAAGGAAAAUGUCUCUAGAGCAGGGUAGAUAUUUCCAAAGUCCACUGGCCUCCACUGGGUUCCCUCCUAGGGCAGGUAUGGAGCCAUCUCACCUGUGAGUCUAGUUAUGAUAGAACUUUUGGAAAAUAGUCCAUGUCUGCAUGUGUGUGUGUGUGUGUGUGUGUGUGUGUGUGUGUGUGUGUGUAGCAUUUGAUCUGUCCCUGGCAAAAAAGCCAAAAGGAAGGACACAAUAGAAGAUAUUAUGUACAAUAUUAGGAAAUGCAUUGCCAUGCAGAUGAAUGGAUUUCUUGCCACAUACCUGUGAUCUUGGCACUUGAGAAGCUGAGGAAAAUGGACUAUUUUUGCUACAUAAUUUAAGUACAAUCAUAGGAACAUAGGUGAAUAAGAAAUGUAAAUGUGAACUUAUCAAGAUAGUAAUUUCUUGUUCCCAGAAGACAAAGAGAUACCCAUUUAAACAGGACUUACAGGGAAAAGUAGAGAGUCUAUAAAAUACCCAAACCAAUUUUCAUUUUGAGGAUUCCCAUCCUGAGGACCUAUCACUGAAGAAAUCUGGCAGUUAUAUUAGUUUUCCUUCUACCUUCAUGGUUUAUGUUCUAAAAUCUUGAAUUCUUUGUCCAAAAGGAACAAGCUUGAAAAAAAGCUUGAAAAACUGCCAGUAAGCCAGUUACAUAAUGAGAUCCUGACUCAAGUAGAUGAAGAACAACACCAAUAUAACAAUCUGGGCUACAUAAAAGAGAACCCAAUUCAGAAAAUAAACAACAAAAGGAGAAUGAAGCGGAAGAAAUCACAGACAGGUAGCAGGUGGUCAGUCCCAAAGUUAGAGUUGGG